AGCGAACGCUGGCGGCAGGCCUAACACAUGCAAGUCGAGCGCCCAGCAAUGGGAGCGGCAGACGGGUGAGUAGCGCGUGGGGAUCUACCCAUUGGUACGGAAUAACCCAGGGAAACUUGGACUAAUACCGUAUGUGCCCUUCGGGGGAAAGAUUUAUCGCCAAUGGAUGAACCCGCGACGGAGUAGCUAGUUGGUGAGGUAAAGGCUCACCAAGGCGACGAUCCGUAGCUGGUCUGAGAGGAUGAUCCGCCACACUGGGACUGAGACACGGCCCAGACUCCUACGGGAGGCAGCAGUGGGGAGUAUUGGACAAUGGGCGCAAGCCUGAUCCAGCCAUGCCGCGUGAGUGAUGAAGGCCUUAGGGUUGUAAAGCUCUUUCGCCGGUGAAGAUAAUGACGGUAACCGGAGAAGAAGCCCCGGCUAACUUCGUGCCAGCCGCCGCUGUAA
rnacentral:rRNA from 1 species